rnacentral:rRNA from 1 species
UACGAAGGGGGCUAGCGUUGCUCGGAAUCACUGGGCGUAAAGGGCGCGUAGGCGGCCAUUCAAGUCAGGGGUGAAAGCCCAAGGCUCAACCUUGGAAUUGCCUUUGAUACUGUUUGGCUUGAGUCUGGUAGAGGUUGGUGGAACUGCGAGUGUAGAGGUGAAAUUCGUAGAUAUUCGCAAGAACACCGGUGGCGAAGGCGGCCAACUGGACCAUUACUGACGCUGAGGCGCGAAAGCGUGGGGAGCAAACAGG